UACGAAGCACAACGACCUUGUGCUGAAAAACCGUGAAUUUAGUCCCACUUCGAAGGAAAUUUUAAGCCCAUAAAAGCCUUGGUUUCCUGUUUAUUUUGGGGGUUUACACUAAAAUUGAGGAAGCAUAUAUGAACGCAAAGGCUCGAGGAUGUACGACAACUUGGAUAUGAUAGGCUUCUUUCCAGCCUUGAGCUUCUUCUUGCCAAAAGAGUGUUGGAUUGAUUUUUCCUCCUCAAAUCAAGGGUUGGUGUCGGGAUUGAGGGGUGGGUCCAAAAUGGGUAUGGUUCUGAGGGAAAGAGGGAUGGCAGAGACAGAGGUCAUGGAGUUGGGCGUGGGAAUUCCAAAAAUCAAGGGCUGCUGUCAGUGGGUGUUAAUAUCAGCAAUGAGCAUGAUUGGGAUGUGAGUUCUCUCAACCUUUUGAUUAAUUUUUUAUAUUUUGGCUUUUUAUAUAA